AUCAGGUGGCUGCUUGGCAAUCGCUGACAGCACUCUUUGCAGGAGUUCCAGUGUUGUCUUUGCAAAUAUGUUCUAUUAGAGACCAUCUGUUUCUUGUAGUUCACUCCUUUUGGCUCUCUUGGAACUCCUUAUUUUAUCAGUAUUAGUAGCUGUAGGCUGGGUAGUGUCUUGUGUGCUGUGGACCCUGACAGUGUGGGGACUCCAGCCUGAUGCAAAGCUAAUCUACAAGAAAAAUUAGUUUCAUGCCAUUCCCUUGGGUCCUGUCACUGGUCACCAGAGAGAACCGAUCACUGCCAGCUCCUCCACCUCCCCCCAUGAGGGAUCUGCAGACCACUGGGAGAUCUCUCCUCCAGGCUGAACAGGG